CUUCUCCUCACCGAUGAGACGUUUGCUGACCAUUUUGACAUUGCCCAGAACAUUUGGGACAUGCACAGACCCAAAGUUUCUUGACGACCGGUCUGCCCUCCUCCCGCAGU